CAGCCGCCGCGGGAAUACGGAGGGUGCAAGCGUUAUCCGGAUUCACUGGGUUUAAAGGGUGCGUAGGCGGAUCUGUAAGUCAGUGGUGAAAUCUCCAGGCUUAACCUGGAAACUGCCGUUGAUACUAUAGGUCUUGAAUUUUGUGGAGGUUAGCGGAAUAUGUCAUGUAGCGGUGAAAUGCAUAGAUAUGACAUAGAACACCAAUUGCGAAGGCAGCUGGCUACACAACUAUUGACGCUGAGGCACGAAAGCGUGGGGAUCAAACAGGAUUAGAUACCCGCGUAGUCCCUGUCUCUUAUAC
rnacentral:rRNA from 1 species